GAAGAGGAUAACUUCAUCCCCUUUCAACUAACCCCUUUGAAAACUCCAGAAAAACAAGAGCUAAAUAUUGAAGAAAGGAUCCCAGUAUAUCUUCGCAAUCUUGGCAUCGACCAGUCCCCUGGAUCUAUACUGACUCCGUUUGUGCCCCAAGGACCCAUCAGGGAAGUGGAAUUUUCCCCUUCAGAGCUUCGAACACUGAAGGACUCCUGUGACUCGCUUAGGAGGACAGCUCAGCGGCUGCAAGAUGAAUUGCUGGCUGCAGUUG